CUGGACUCUGCCUUGGCCAUCUCUCACUGAACUUCAACGUCUUUGUUUGGGAUCAUACCUCUAGAUAGAUGGUCUCACUAAUUUUUUCCCCCCUGGUAUAACCUGAAUAAACCCUGUAAAACCUAUUUUCAACAAUUUUUUAUCUGCGCUUUGGAGUGUUAUGAAAUGGCCAUGAGUCAAACGGUCAUGUAGGUUUCACAGUGGCCGAGUUUGUUUAGUUAGAAGUCACUAUGGUAGAGACGUGAAGAAAAGAAAGUUGAAGUCGUUUGAGUAUGUUGUUAACUCUGUUUGGUAUGUGUGAAAUAGUGGAGCAGAGCAUAUUCCAUGCUUUCACAAAUAGAUACUUUAAAUAGCUAUAGAUGAAGAAGAAAGCAGAGCAGGAAAUGGUUAAAAUUAACCGAAUUGGUAAAUCAUGUUGAUGCUCAUUUGCCAGAAUAAUGUAUCCACCCGUUUCUAGGAAAAGGCUAUUUUCCCAUAUCCUCUCGUUGGGAAAAAUCCAAAUCAUAUGUAUAAUAUGUUGAUGUCCAUUUGCAUUUGCGUCAAUUCUAGAUAAUUAUAAUACAAAAAAAUAUAAUAUAUUAUUUGAAUGCACAAAUGUUCAAAAGAAUGCACAACAAAUGAAAAAAAAAAUCAUGGAUAUUUCUAUCGUUCUAGCUAGCCAAAAUAUGUAAAAGGAAUAUUUAUUAUCGUCCAGCAAAUUAUUUCUCAUUUCUCCAUCGUUGUUCUUUGACAACAUUUCUCCAUUCAUUUCUUUUAAUUGUUAACUAGGUUUAAAUUCACGCUUUUUGCAUGAUAAACAUUGUGUAUACAAAUUAUCUUUACGUACUAUUAUUUAUUUUACGUUAUUUUACAUAUUACAAAUAAUAAAGAAAUAAAUCUAUAUUGAAUAUUUGAUAAAUUAUAACCGUUAAAUAUAUAAUUAAAUUGGUGUGAGUAUAUAUAUAGAUCAAAAAUAUCAGUCUUAUUUAUUUACAAUUAUUAUAUGAUAAAUAAAUCCAAACAAUCAAUAUUAUCUAUUUUAUAUGAUAUAUAAUAAAAUUUAAAUAAUAUUAACAUAUAUAUAAUAUUUUCUUAAUAUGAGUAUCUAAUAAAUUAGAUUUUCAACUCAUAUAUUUUUAUGAUCAUUUGUAUACUUUUAUAUAAUUUUUUUUAAACCACUGAUAACAAAAUUUCAAUGUUAGACGUUUCAUAGUUAUAGUAAUUUAUAAUAUUUUAAUUAAAUGAAAAUUUAGUAAUUAUUAUAUUAAGUUCUCAAUAAUUUUUCAAUGAAAAUUCCAAAAUUAAAAAUUUAUAUUAUUUUACAUGGUAUAAUUUUUAAUUUAAAUUAUAUCAAAAUAUUUAUAAUUGUAUUCUGAAUAUCUAUUAACUUAUAUGAUUUUAUAAUCAUUUAUACCUUACUGUAACAAAAAAUAAUUUAAACCAUUGAUCAUAAAUUAUAUAAUGUGGGAAUUUUAUUAAUUUAUUAAUUUGAAGACGUUUUAAAAAUUCAAAAUAAGAUAUAUGGAAAAAAUGUUAGAGGAUUUUCAAAUUGUUAUAAUUUAAAUAAAAUGUUAGAGGAUAUUCAAAUAAAAUGUUAGAGGAUAUUAUAAUUUAAAUAAAAUGUUAGAGGAUAUUCAAACUGUUAUCAAACUUUAUUAUGAAAAUUUAUUAAUUUUCAUAUAUAUUUUAAUCACAUGAGGUAAUUUUGUACAUUAAAAUUUAAUUUUAUAGCCAGUUUAAUGAGAAGUAAUGUAUAUAUUUAGAUGAACCAACAUAUAUCUCUAAGUAUUCUAAGAAGCAUUUUAGUGAUGACAAAUUAUCAUAUCUCAAAUGUUGUACAACUUCUCAAAUAAUAUGUAAGAGAUAAAUAUUUCUCACUUUUCUACGUAUAUGAUCCAUAAUGUUUGGGGAUUAUUCUUACACAUGCACAUACUCAGAAAAGAACAUGUUACAGCUUUAACAAAUUUUAUUGUGCAUUUAAAAUCAGAACAAAAGAUUCAUGCUAAAUAUAAGUCCAAUUUUAUUACAAUUUGAAUUUCCUCCCGAACUAGUUACCGUAACAUUUAAAACGAUUUUGACGAACCAGUAAAUCGAAAGGGGUAGGAUUUACAAUGAAGUAUGAGUCGAUAUACUCAGUAAAACGACGUUGUUUUUGCCUUUAAUCAAAACCUUUUAAACUUUUCUCAUCCUCAUUAGGUGUUUUCAACGGCAAUGCCAUCAUUACACACUCGACAUGGUGGCGAUAGCCAAUCUUAUUAGCACUUCCUGCAAAAUUGCCAAGAACCUCAAUGAUUUUCGGGUGUUCUUGCCUUCACCACCUGCCAACUCAUCUCCAAACCCGUCAUCUCGUCAAAUUUGAAUCACCCGGUGGUUCUUAUGAGCGAGAAUAACAUGUCUUUACAAGCCACAAGAAACGUGUAAAGAGAUAGUCGAUAGCUUAGAGGUGAUGAUGGAGACGGAAUUAAGAGACUCACAAGUGAUGGAACAAGUCGACUGUAACGCUCUGACCGUCCACGGAUAAUGUGUCACCCAUGCCCGCUCAGUUGGCCCGUGGGCUCCAUUCCGUCCCACAGACGGUGCGUUAAUUUUUUCGAAUGCUCGAAAUAAUUGUUCACUGGCCCAGCAAUCACAACAUGAUCUUUUCCCGUGCUUCCGUCUCACUCACACGGUAUUGCGAAUCACUUCCUGAUAGAUCACCCAUUCUUCCACUACUCCGGAUCAAGCACGUUUAACCAUGAAGUUUUAAACAGAUGAGUGUCAGAAAAGGUUGCACUUUGGUGACAUAGAUAGCCAAAUCAAUUCUCUUAAGCCUUUCCUUAUACCACAAAUCCAGAUGUUACAAUUCACCCCAUCUCAAAGAACGCAACGUCGUCGUUGCGCCCCAUGAUCAUUAUCCAUGUUAGUGUGAGUCCUCACUGACUCCACACUCGUCUGGGUUUGCCUCUGAUACUAUUUGUAACGCUCCGACCCCCCCCCCCCCCGGCUAAUGGGCAUCCACGUCCGUUCACUCGGCAUGUGGGCUCCAUUACAUCCCACGGUCAAGGAAUCAGAAGAGCUCAACUACUUUCUCGGAACUGAAGCACAGCAGACACUGUUGGACCCAAUUUCGGUCAAUAUUCUAGAUUGGGCCGAAAAAUAUGUGGGCCGCACGGUCAGAAGCAAAGAUAAGGCCCAACCUGUUGGACCAGGAUUUAGCACUAAAAUCCCUCCCGCCAAAAGGAUAAGAAAACUAGUUAACGACAACCUCGGGUUAAGCUUAAACGGGCUGAGGAGAACUCGUAACGCGACGUCGGCCCAUAAAGCCCGAGGUUCUUUGAAGAAUUAAUGAGUCAAAGAUCAAGAGGAUUAUUCUCCACAUAUCUUGGAAUCGAUAGUUAUAAAGAAUGAGUUAAAGAUAAAGAAGAGGAGCACGUGCAACAAACCACAAGUUUCUUGCAACAGCUUUACUCUCAUAUAAAAGAAGCCUUGGAGCUACCAAGGAAAGGAGAGGUCCACGGCCUGAACAGAGAUAAAAAACAUAUAAACAAAGGAAUAAAGAAACACGAAAAGAAACGAGAGACUUCGGUCUUAGCAACACAUGGUUUAAUCGUUACCCCCAUGUAAUGAUUAAACAGUUCUUCCAUUCUUCCCCCAUUCCUAUAAAAUAGAAGCUCGUAUUCAUGAGCUCAAGACGAUUACAAACUCCACCGACGUUCCGUUAAUCGAAUACAUUCAUGUAUUCCGAGGCGCUAAGAAGCAAAGGCUGUCCACACGAGACCCGAUCUUACGAGAUCGUGAUCAACCAAUCCGAGAUCCCGAGCUCAUUAUUCUCACCCGUAAACGAUGUCCCACACUAGACAGACGAGGCCGGCAUCUUACUCAAGACCAAUGAAACCGACAUCUCCUUUGAUCCUGAGUUCAGUCACGAUCCUUCCUUCUCCUGACAUCUAUAUGAUAUUCGACCUACGAAUAUAGUCCAUUUUCGACGACUCAGACCUGAUUAUAUCGUUGUGUUCUGAGGAUAUUGUUGCCCACGUUAUUUCUUCCCUAGAUUGAACUCCCGAUCACUAUCAAAUACUUAGUGUAGAUUUUAGGAUCUACAUUUUGGUGCCGUCUGUGGGGAAGAUAAACAAAAAACAUCCUCGCUAGGAACCCGAUCUAAGGUUUGUAAGCACGAAAAUGGAUCCAUCUCAUAUGGUGUCCAAUACCGCACCAAAUGAGCCAUUACACCACGCGCGGUAGCAUUUAUCUUACUAGAUCAUAGACAAGGAAUGAAACACGAGAUUCUAUUCCGACCUCAGCCAAAUCGAAUCGACAUUACAAAUAAAAGUAAUUCACCUCGCCGAGUUUCACCGAUAACGCCCUCGAACCAUAGCAGACCGAGGAUGAAUGCUGAUCUCCCGACCUCUCGAGUUCAGUGAGCUCGACACCGAUCUGUCAAACGAAUAUCAAUCGAUAUGGUGUAAGCCUGAAGAAUGCAGGAUGUCAUCCUGGACAGACCGUAAUCUCCAAAAAGUUGCAAUUAAAGUCUUGGACAGCUUUGAACAAGACGAGAAAACAACUUCGCCGCGGCCGAGCAACCUCGAUAAAUAAAUGACCAGAAGUGAGAACGAAUCUGAAAGAUAUCGAAUUACAAUAUCUCGAGCAUGCCUGGACUGUGUACAAAGACUAAGUACAUCCAAUUCUCAAGAUCUCGAUAUGAGGGGACGUCGAGAAACCAGAGCCCUUCAAUUUCCAAAGACGAAGAGUACGAGCUCUUAGAGACCACUAAUAUGCUCGUCAUUUGCUUCUCGUUACGGUCACGUAUUUGACCAGACCAGAAUCCUUCUUCCGGCAAAGCAGCUCAACAAGACUUGUCACUGAAGGAUGAAGACAACGAUAAACAGAAAUCUACUAUUAGCAUUUCAUGAUAAUAAGGAUUUCUUCAACCUGAAAAACAACAAAAGUGAGACAUACGUUUUCAAUGAUUAUCAUCCGCUCAACCUUCGUAAACGAGAGUCCGCAAGAUCGAGAACCACGAAUACAAGCAUCUUCCCCCUCCACCUUCCAGCUUUGCAUUGUUGUUUUAUGGAUCAAAUACAAACACGUAUUUGAUUAGAUAUGAUCUCUCGUUCACUCAAAGAAAUCAAACCACAUAGACAUUUUGCUUAAUCAUUAUGUAUCAAUGAUGAUAAAGUAAUCCGACAACUCAUUGGUUGAUCAACGAGACAGAAAAAAUAUAUAUUCCUUAUGUUUACUCAUAAAGUGAAUACGGAGAUAUAUUUACCAAACCGAAUGUCUUUUAGACGACGAGAAACCUAUUCAUGCAAAUGAAUGAGGAUACAACUUUUUUUCUCUACACGAUCAUCGAACAUGAAUUCAACAUCUCGAUAAAACCAACGUCUCAUCAUUGUAAUCCAGCAGAGAAGAGCUUUCACAGCUCAACAACACCCAUUAAAAAGAUCACCAUAUUUCUAUCACAAUGUGAUUACGCCAACAUGAAGUUAAAAAAAUUCUAAUUGUUUAAAGAAGAAGGAUAUGCAAUAACUGAUAUUUGUUGAACAAAGAAAACAGAUAAAAGUCCGUAAAUAAGACAAGAGAAAGAUGGCUCUCAUCACGAUCCCUACUCGUACCUCUCCCAUGAAGAUGACCCCACUUUGUAAUAGAUGAGAGAAUAUAAGCUCGAGACUGUCUUCACUAUACAUUGAUGAUAUCAACAAAGACCAACAUAUUAUCAAAUCAUUUAGUCAACACAAUGAUUAGAUAAUUCACCAACCACGUGACUUGGUCGAUAAGAAAGAGAUCGAAGAAAAGCUUAAUAUCAAUUCAGCACAUAAACGACCUGUAAAGUAUGUGAGUUAAGAGACCAAAAUCACCCGACCUUUACCGUGAUUUUACGAAUCGACUGUGGUCAUACGCAUUUGAUCAAAACGACGUUCUCCGUCCAUGAAUUAGGGAAUCGUUACCUUUUGUGUUCCUUUCACCACACCGAUAUGGUUAUAUAUUCGCUGAAGGACAACGAUGCCAAAAAAUAAGACCGGCUAUAGCCAAUUCGAGUUCUACUAACUUGUUAUUCUUAUGCACAAACGAAGUUUCAUUCAAGAACCGUCAAACCAACGUCUCAUUUAAUACUGACAUAAAUGACGUCUCUUUAGAGAUGGUAAAAAUAAAACUACGUCAGACUCGAUCUCGUGACAUGUUUAGAUGAUUCCUCGAUCAUAUUGAUGGAGAAACGAGUUGAAGAGACUUUUCGUCCUUCCACCUCGACACCUCACUAGAAGGACUGGGGGGCAACUAACUUUAGACCCAGAUUUAUAACCAGAUCUCUCCCGCAAAAAAAAAAGCCAUUAACGAUCUCUCCACCUUUUAAUCACUGGGAAGAAGACAAAGGCAGUUGUUGAUGUUUAACAAAAUUAAUACAGAAACGUGUUUGUUGAGACCGAGCAUCUUCUAGAAGAGAGGACAAACCCCAUUCUCUUCCACCUAAAACGAACAAAAACUCAUGAGAUGAAGAAUGAAGAAUACACUCUCCUCUUCUUGUGAUCAGCAUUCAACUAUGGAAUUUAUGAGAGUUCAAUCUCUCACGACCAUAAAUUUAUACAUACCAAACCAUGAUAACUCAAGAACGACGUUCGUAUAUGAACAUGAAGAAAACCUUGUUUUCUUUAGGUUACAAACCCGACAUCACACCUGAUUCCCAAUAUCUCAAUAUGCGUAGUACGAGAUCGAGGAGACGUAAAGAAAAAUACGAUUUCAUAUCCAUGUCAUCGAACCAUUAAGUAACAUUACGAAUAAAAAAUUCGUACACUAUGGGAUCGUUCAACAAAAGAAGAAACAUGAAACUCUUUAUGUUUAUUCCAAAUACUUCGCCAUAACUUUUUGAAGCCAAUAAUCUAUUCCAACGAAGAAGAACUCAAGACAAGUUCAACAUAAAGCCAACUUUUCGCUCAUGAUGACGAAACGGACCAUGUACUGAACUAAACAAAAUAAAAACGAGUGGACCCGAUCUCUAGAGAGCUCGAGAAACGCUAAGGGUCGAUAAGUCGCCUUCUCCCAUAAAAGAAUUAAAUUUGAUCUCCAUUGAUCUUAAAACAGCUUGAGGAACCCAUUCACAAUUGUUAUCCCAGUAAGCAACGAGCUCGAUAUCCAAAUAGCCCGAUUUCCAAGUAGCCCGAUCUUCACAUAGCUCGAUCUUAGCAUCAAGUUCGAUCUCCAAUGCGCUCGGACAUACUCGAGGAGCCGACAAUGCAUCUUUCUCCCUAAAAACGAUAUGCCGAUGAAAUAUAAAUAUUUUGAGAAUGCAUGUUGUCUAAUGGUAUCUCCAAACGAAAACAAGACCACAACUGGCAGGAAGCACGUGAUAAUUCACAAAGGCGUGCUAGGACUUGUACACGAAUCAAAUCAAUAGUUCAUAGCCUGAAUGCACCGCCCUCUCAUCGUCUACGCAAAAAACACAUGAUCAAACAUCUGACACCAUUCUCAUCUCCGCUAGCUCGCAGUCACCGAGACAAGAACAAGCCCGCCUUGGUAAAUAAUCAUCCUUAACCAAUUUGCGCAUAUAAUUAUAUUGCAUCAGAUAAAUAAAUUCUUGCAUUACUAUUGCAACCUUUUAAAGUUAUCAAUUCAUAUUAAUUCAUUAUUUUCAUUGCAAAAUGAAUAAACUUAUUCAAGUGAUAAAAUGUUUUAUAUACUCCUUUUACCGGUAACUCGAACUAUUACCGAGAUUCAAUUUCCAGCUUCAAGCGUCUAAAACUUUAUUUCUCAGCUUUAAACAUCUCGAACACUUAGCAAGUUUUAAGCUCUCAUCAACCUAAAACAUCUUUCGUAAAAAAAAAAAGAAAAAAGAAAAACAA